UGCCCGGAUUGGCCGAGUCGACAGGAGUGCAUCGGCAGGAGUGGAGGACCCAGGCAGUACGGGUCGCCGGGACGGUCACGCCAUGACCGGGCCGCGCAGCCCUUGGGGUGAAGCCGUGGUGACACGGCCGGGCCAACUUCGCCAGCCCGAAUCCGACAGGUCAUCCUUCUCAGGCGGUUGACGAAGGGUUG
rnacentral:sRNA from 1 species